rfam:Rattus norvegicus chromosome 2, whole genome shotgun sequence.
GGAGAUGUGGCUCAGUGCUUAAGAGCACUGACUGUUCUUCCAGAGGUCCUGAGUUCAAUUCCCAGCAACCACA